GUAAACAAUCACACUCUCUACUUAAACCCUGGACUUUCCUUCCGUCACUGCCGAGUAUUGUAUGCAUUAUCAAUAAACUGACUAAGUGAAGCCCGAGGUCCCUCUCGAAUGAGUUGUGACUUUAACGGCUGAUUAGUUUCCAGUUUAGAACUCACUCAAAUCUGGUCUCACCUGAUCUUCAGUGUUUGAGAGAUUUUUUUCAUUCUCCUCUUCAACAGCCGUUUCCACGGCGUCACUCACAAACUUCAGACUCCAGGGCGAAUUUUCAUCCUCCAGCAGAACCACGUUUAACGUGACCGAGGAGUUUCUGCAGCUUAACACGUCAAACC